rnacentral:rRNA from 1 species
UAGAUCCUACGGGACGCAGCAGUGGGGGAUAUUGCACAAUGGGGGAAACCCUGAUGCAGCGACGCCGCGUGAGUGAAGAAGUAUUUCGGUAUGUAAAGCUCUAUCAGCAGGGAAGAAAAAAGACGGUACCUGACUAAGAAGCCCCGGCUAACUACGUGCCAGCAGCCGCGGUAAUACGUAGGGGGCAAGCGUUAUCCGGAUUUACUGGGUGUAAAGGGAGCGUAGACGGCAAUACAAGUCGGAAGUGAAAUACCCGGGCUCAACCUGGGCACUGCUUAGGAAACUGUAUGGCUG